ACCGAAACCGGUAAGUGGAUUUGUGCUGUGUGAUGUUUCGGUGUUUUUAAGGAUGAUAAAAAAUAACAAGAAUGUGAAAGAGCAGAACACAGAUGAAAGGAUAUGACGAAGAUUGUUUGUUAUUUAAGUGACGCGUUCAAAAAGAAAGGGUCAGGAUUCAAAGCUGAGUCAGAUUAGUUUACAAUUGAAAACACUUCACAUACCAUAAUUGCUUUGUUGUGAAAGGAUUAACCUUUAAUUUAAACGUGUAAAUCCGAAUGGCACGAGGUUUGUUAACAUAUGAACGUGGCUUUAUGUGUUCCUCACGGGUUACACACGCGAACGACUGAGAAUUUAUUGUUGCGGAUUGAGAGGAUCGUUAGUUGCGAUUACUUUUGGGGGUUUUGAUUGCAAUGAACGGUGUGGAUGAGGUUGGAUAAGUGGGUAUUGAAGGGGUCGGUGUAGGUGAUUGGGAGUGUGACGUG
rnacentral:lncRNA from 1 species